GCAUUGUGACAAUUCCAAAUUUUAAUUGUUCGGACCAACCUAAUCUAUGUGCUUAUUCAAUGCUGUAUACUAAUGCUUGAUAAGUUUGCUUCCAGCAAAUUAUGCCUGAUCUUAAUUGGAAAAAGAAAUUCAAAGCAGCAUUCGACUAUCACCCCCACCCCCACAUGACAUAUUUAAAAGCCAUUGAAGAAAAAAAAAAAAAAAACCUGGAAAACCUAAUAAUCUCACUUCUGAAAGAUUAUCAAGGUGCAUAUCCAAAAAAAGACACAAUAAUGAAAUCACACCAUUGGUAACCAAUAUCGUCCAACAAGAAAGGAAAGCGAAUCAAGAACUUCUAGCUUCUAGCUCAUAGCAUAUUUCUGAGUCCAGGCUCGAGCAGUAGCAUCAUACUUGACUCUAUCAGUCGUGUAGAUAUGAGCAAUCUCAGGCACUAGGGGAUCAUUGGGAUUUGGAUCUGUCAACAGCGAGCAUAUCGACAACAACACCUGCAAAGAAACAUAAAAGAUUUGCAAAGCAGAAACAAUCAUAAAGCCCAAGACUAAUUCAAAUUGAAACUAUGGCAAAUACACAGGACUUAUUUUAAAUUUUGGAGUUUGAAGAGAAGUGAAGAUAGUGAUGGAGACCUUUGAAAUUGUCAAGGCUGGGCUCCAUUGCUCCUUGAGAAUGUCAAGACAGAUACUGCCAUUGCUGUUAAUGUUUGGAUGAUAAACUUUUGUCUUAAAGGAAACCUGCACAAAGUAUUUCAUUCAAUAGUAAAUAUCUAUUUUGCAUACAUCAGUACAUUUUGUUGUUCAAAAUAUAACCAAGGAAACAAAAUUUAACAAAAACAACCUUUCAAGUGACUUAAGUAACAUUGAAGUGACUGGAUUACUAAUAAACAGGGACAUUCAUGGGUUUUCAUUUUGGUAGAAUGGAAGGACAAUUCUGCUGUCAUGUGAGGUGACUAGAUCACUAAUAAAACAGAGGCUGUAAAAAUCCUGAGGUCAACAACAUCAGUACAAAGGAAACAGAAAAGCAAGGAAGAUUUGCGACAUCAGAUUACGAGGAGCACAUACUAUAGAUUUGCUCACAUCAGAAUUUGUCCAUUGUGAGAAAGAAAGGAAACAUACAUCUGUGCAGAUGAAUCGAUACAUGAAUUAUCAAGAACAUGUCCUUUCAGGGACAUUCUGGUAUAAUGAAAGGACUUCUUGUAAAUGGAUAGAAUCCCAUGCUUAAGUUAAUAUCUCUUCUAAACAAGAAAGAGAAUGACUAAAUUGUUUCUAAUAGAGAAAAAAUCCUAAACUUAUUGUUAAUGAUUUUUAUCUUUUUAUUAUAGUUUAUUAUUAUUAUUAUUAUUAUCAUUUGAGUUAAGAGAUAAUUUGAUAAUUUAGUAAAUUUAAAUAUUAUUAAAAAAUAAUUGAUGUAUACAUUGCAUGCGUUAGUGCAUAGAUAUCUCCUCGAGUUAAUUUUGGGUGGUGCGUACAACAUUGUUCAUUGGUCAAAUACCAGAUUUCAAGGCGGCAUUGAAAAGUGCUACGUGUCCCCUCCAUACCCGAGUGGUGCAUGUUAAUGACAAGUUAUUGAUUUCUCCCUAAUAACAUAUUUUUUUGUUUUUUUUUCUUCUCCCCUUUGAUUCUCGCACCAAACCCUUCAACUUGAUUUUUCUUUGAAUUUAGUUUUUAUUUUUAUUAUUGUAUGUUUUAUUUGAGAUAAUUUAUAGAUUUAGAAUAUUUUUUUCAAUUUCAUCCUUAUUUUAUUUUUUUCAUCUAUCAAACUUGGUCCCUAUUAUUUUAAUUGAUAUUUUUUAUUUUUUUUCUUGAUUUACUUUAUUUUUUAAUUUAAUCUCUCAUUCUUUUAUUUCAUUUAAUAUUAAUAACAUAUUUGAUCCUCAUUCUUUUAAUAACUACUUUUUUGUUUUUUGUUUUUUUCUUGAUUUAUUUUUCAAUUUAAUCCAUCAUUUUUUUAUUUCAUUUAAUAUUAAUAACAGAUUUAAUCCUCGUUUUUUUUAUUGCUAAUUUUUUAUUUUUUAUUUUUAUCUUUUUUUUUAUUUGUUUUAUUUUUCAAUUUCAUUUCUUAUUAUUUUAUUUUAUUUAAUUUUUAUAUCAUAUUUGGUCCUUAUUGUUUUAUUAUUAUUUAUUUUAUUUUUGUUUUAUUUUAGAUGGUUAAGAAAUUUGCUUCGUGAUAUUUUUAAAUUUACCUUCUAUAAGGUAAGUCAAUCCAAUGACUAAAGACACGAGUUUCAAAAAUUACCUAGUUUGUUUGCCUUUAAUUGUUUUGUUUGCCUUUGAGUUGACCUUCAUUGUUUUGUUCAUAUAUUUUUUAUAUAGAAUUAUCUCACCAAAAAUAUAUAGAACUCACUGUCACCGUCAUAAGGUAGCUACAUAUUUAACAUACAGAUAUCAGCUAGUUUUUUUUUUUUUUUUUACUUUCAAUUCACCCUUCAAUAUUUGCUUUGUGAGUAAUAUUUUUUUUAUUUUUUUUAUAAAAUUAUCUCAUUCUCCUUUUUUACUUGAGUCAGGCCAUGGCAUAACACAGAAACUCCUAUCUAAUACAUCCCUAUUUCCAAUUAAGGUCAACUAUAAUUUGCAUUAGGGACAAAUAUGAUAGCCAUUCAGAUUAAAGCAAUAUUUGGGGGUCCACAGUGAUGUUGUAGCCUCUAACAGAUCCGAAUUCUGCUUCGACGAAUUCUGCUUCAAAUUUCUUCUUCCGAGCAAUCUGUGUUAUUCGUCUGCAUUGUGACUAUUCCAAAUUUUAAUUGUUCGGACCAAUCUAAUCUAUGUGCUUAUUCAGUGCUGUAUACUAUGCUUGAUAAGUUUGCUUCCGGCAAAUUAUGCCUGAUCUUAAUUGGAAGAAGAAAUUCAAAGCAGCAUUCGACUAUCACCCCCACCCCCACAUGACAUAUUUAAAAGCCAUUGAAGAAAAAAAAAAAAAAAACCUGGAAAACCUAAUAAUCUCACUUCUGAAAGAUUAUCAAGGUGCAUAUCCAAAAAAAGACACAAUAAUGAAAUCACACCAUUGGUAACCAAUAUCGUCCAACAAGAAAGGAAAGCGAAUCAAGAACUUCUAGCUUCUAGC
rnacentral:lncRNA from 1 species